ensembl:lncRNA
AUGGUUGUGUGUGUGUGUCUGCAUGGUUGUGUGUGUGUCUGUGUGUCUGCAUGGUUGUGUGUGUGUCUGCAUGGUUGUGUGUGUGUCUGUGUGUCUGCAUGGUUGUGUGUGUCAUUUGAACCAAUGAGACACGCAGCCUACUGAAGGAGGACAUUUGAUAGGCUACUUCACUUCAUUGCCAGUUCGAGCCAUGGGCCUAUUUUCUUCUUCCGCUUGGUACCAGCGGAGUGAUAUCAACGUUCAUGUCAACAGCGACAGGAAGAGGAGUGUUUGCAGCCCAGACCAUUGAACCAGGGGCUUUUGUACUGGAGUACAGGGGUGAACUCAUAUCAGUGGAAGAAUGCCAGUCAAGACACUACUCAGAGAAAGAGUGUGAGAAGGUGACCACAGGCAGGCUCCAGCUGGGGCAGUUGAUCUGGGGAUGUCCUCCACACAUCACACUUCACAUGGAGCUUCACACAAAGAUGGUGUCAGCACACAGGUUAUGGUUUCCAGGUUUUGCCUUGUGGAGUACUCUGAUAGUGAGGAUACAGAUGAAGGCUGUGGAACAGACCACCCUUUGA